rnacentral:misc_RNA from 1 species
AAGUGUGAAUGGUACUACUGUGUUUUAGAGAAGACUAGAAUAGAGGAGAAGAGGAAAAGAAAAAGAGGAAAGAAAAAGAAGAAGAGGAGAGAGAGAGAGAAAGACAUACCCGUUGUUGAAAGAGNUUGUGUUUCUCCUUUUCUCAUUUGCGCUAGGUAGCCAAGUAGGGUUUUAAUUUUAUAUGGGUUAAAAGACAAUUAAAAAGAAUAAAAAAAAAAAAAUUUACCGUUCCUUCAAAUCGGC